rnacentral:rRNA from 1 species
GAUGAACGCUGGCGGCGUGCCUAAUACAUGCAAGUCGAACGAAACUUCUUUAUCACCGAGUGCUUGCACUCACCGAUAAAGAGUUGAGUGGCGAACGGGUGAGUAACACGUGGGCAACCUGCCCAAAAGAGGGGGAUAACACUUGGAAACAGGUGCUAAUACCGCAUAACCAUAGUUACCGCAUGGUAACUAUGUAAAAGGUGGCUAUACUACCGCUUUUGGAUGGGCCCGCGGCGCAUUAGCUAGUUGGUAGGGUAAAGGCUUACCAAGGCAAUGAUGCGUAGCCGAAUUGAGAGGUUGAGCGGCCACAUUGGGACUGAGACACGGCCCAAACUCCUACGGGAGGCAGCAGUAGGGAAUCUUCCACAAUGGGCGAAAGCCUGAUGGAGCAACGCCGCGUGGGUGAAGAAGGUCUUCGGAUCGUAAAACCCUGUUGUUAGAGAAGAAAGUGAGUGAGAGUAACUGUUCACGUUUCGACGGUAUCUAACCAGAAAGCCACGGCUAACUACGUG